rnacentral:rRNA from 1 species
UACGUAGGGUGCAAGCGUUGUCCGGAAUUAUUGGGCGUAAAGAGCUCGUAGGCGGUGUGUCACGUCGUUCGUGAAAACCUGCAGCUUAACUGUGGGCGUGCGGUCGAUACGGGCAUCACUGGAGUUCGGCAGGGGAGACUGGAAUUCCUGGUGUAGCAGUGAAAUGCGUAGAUAUCAGGAGGAACACCGAUGGCGAAGGCAGGUCUCUGGGCUGACACUGACGCUCAUGCACGAAAGCGUGGGGAGCAAACAGG